rnacentral:rRNA from 1 species
UCAGGCCUAACACAUGCAAGUCGAGCGAGACCUUCGGGUCUAGCGGCGGACGGGUGGGUAACGCGUGGGAAUAUGCCCUUCGGUUCGGAAUAGCCCCGGGAAACUGGGAGUAAUACCGGAUACGGUCUACGGACGAAAGAUUUAUCGCCGAAGGAUUAGCCCGCGUUGGAUUAGGUAGUUGGUGGGGUAAUGGCCUACCAAGCCGACGAUCCAUAGCUGGUUUGAGAGGAUGAUCAGCCACACUGGGACUGAGACACGGCCCAGACUCCUACGGGAGGCAGCAGUGGGGAAUCUUAGACAAUGGGGGAAACCCUGAUCUAGCCAUGCCGCGUGAGCAAAGGAGGCCUUAGGGUUGUAAAGCUCUUCAGCU